AUUGAACGCUGGCGGAAUGCUUUACACAUGCAAGUCGAACGGCAGCACGGACUUCGGUCUGGUGGCGAGUGGCGAACGGGUGAGUAAUGUAUCGGAACGUGCCCAGUCGUGGGGGAUAACGUAGUGAAAAUUACGCUAAUACCGCAUACGAUCUAUGGAUGAAAGCGGGGGAUCGCAAGACCUCGCGCGAUUGGAGCGGCCGAUAUCAGAUUAGGUGGUUGGUGGGGUAAAGGCCCACCAAGCCAACGAUCUGUAGCUGGUCUGAGAGGACGACCGGCCACACGGGAGCGGAGACUCGGUCCAGACUUCUACGGGAUGCAGCAGUGGGGAAUUUUGGACAAUGGGCGAAAGCCUGAUCCAGCCAUUCCGCGUGCAGGAUGAAGGCCCUGGGGUUGUAAACUGCUUUUGUACAGAACGAAAAGGUCUCUACUAAUACUAGGAGCUCAUGACGGUACUGUAAGAAUAAGCACCGGCUAACUACGUGCCAGCCGCCGCCGUAA
rnacentral:rRNA from 1 species